GGCCCUUUAGCUCAGUGGUAAGAGCAGGUGCUCAUAACUGCUUUGUCGCUGUGGUUCAAACCCAGCAAGGGCCACCA
rnacentral:tRNA from 2 species